GGCAAUAGCCAAUGCAUUAAUAUGAUGCAAUAUCGAAGUCGAAUAAAAUUCUGGGUAGACUAUGAUAAUGACAUUAUCUAUCUAGAUGUCUUGACCAAAAUACGUGCCAGCAGUCGCGGUAAGACGUUAAAGACGAGUGUUAUUCAUGUUUAAUCGGUUUAAAGAGUCCCAAGACUGUUAAUAAAGCCUACUGGGGACACAUUAACUAGAGUUAUAUGAAAGGGGGCUGUGAGGUACUGUCGGGUGGAGAGAUAAAAUUCCAUUAUACAGAUGAUGGCACCAACAAAUGCGAAGGCAUCCUCUUAUGUAAUAACUGACGUUUUCAGACGAAGGCUUAGGGAAGAAAAAUGGAUUAGAUACCCUCGUAUUCUAAGCAGAAAAUGAUGAAUGUCAUAGGUUGAAGAUAAAUAAUAUUUAUUUUGGUCUAUAAAUGAAAGUGUAAGCAUUCCACCUCAAGAGUAAUUUGGCAACAUUGGAACUGAAAUCAUCAGGCCGUUUUUGAAACCAGUAGUGAAGUAUGUUGUUUAAUUUGAUAACCCGCACAAAACCUUACCACUAUUUGCAUAAAUAUUUAUGUAUAUAUUUACAAGUGUUGCACGGCUGUCUUCAGUUGAUGUCGUGAGGCUAGGUUACUCCUAACAAUCAACGCAAACCCUUACUUUAUUUUUAUAUAAAGUUGUUCACCUCUCAUGGGGGAUGCUAAUAGGGA
rnacentral:rRNA from 1 species